rnacentral:snRNA from 1 species
CCCGUAAGGCGCAAGGAAGCU